rfam:Oryza barthii chromosome 1, whole genome shotgun sequence.
AAAAAGACAAACCCUGGGUUUCCGUGUCCAACUUUGACUGUCCGUCUUAUAUGAAAUUUUUUUAUAGUUCGUAUUUUCAUUAUUGUUAGAUGAUAAAACAUGAUUAAUAUUUUAUGCGUGACUUGUCUUUUUAAUUUUUUUCAUAAUUUUUUCCAAAUAAGACGGACGGUCACGUUGGACACGGAAAUCAGCGUUUGUCUUUUUU